UACGUAGGGGGCUAGCGUUGUCCGGAAUCAUUGGGCGUAAAGAGCGUGUAGGCGGCCCGGUAAGUCCGCUGUGAAAGUCGGGGGCUCAACCCUCGAAUGCCGGUGGAUACUGUCGGGCUAGAGUGCGGAAGAGGCGAGUGGAAUUCCUGGUGUAGCGGUGAAAUGCGCAGAUAUCAGGAGGAACACCGAUGGCGAAGGCAGGUCUCUGGGCCGAUACUGACGCUGAGGAGCGAAAGCGUGGGGAGCGAACAGG
rnacentral:rRNA from 1 species